rnacentral:ncRNA from 1 species
AGAGGUUGGGUCCUAGCCUUACUAUCAACUACUGUCUCAACUUACACAUGCAAGCUUCAGCACACCCGUGAGAACGCCCUUGUAACCUUUACCAGGUCAAGGAGCGCGGCAUCGAGGCGCAACUCUUCGCCCAUACGCGCCUAGUCUUACCACGCCCCCAAGGGUAGUCAGCAGUGAUAAAUCGUGAGCAUGAGCGACAGCUCGACUCAGUGAGAGAAAAGAGGGCCGGCCAAUCCGGUGCCAGCCGCCGCCGCGGCUAAACCGGGGACUCAAGUUGAUACUCUUCGGCGUUAAGCGUGAUUAAAGUUCUAAUACUAUUAGGGUCAAACCAAUACUCGGUCGUGAUAAACUUGCUAUUGGGAAGAACACAACGAAAGUUACCCUAACUUAUAUACUUGAAUACACGACAGCUGGGGAACAAACUGGGAUUAGAUACCCCACUAUGCCCAGCCGUAAAAAAUAACUCACACCAACCAGCGCCAGGGAAUACGAGCAACGCUUAAAACCCAAAGGAUUGGACGGUAUCCCAUCCACCUAGAGGAGCCUGUUCUAUAAUCGAUAACCCCCGCUACACCUAACCACUCCUAGCUUAUCAGCCUGUAUACCUCCGUCGGAAGCUUACCAUGUGAACGUUUACAGUAUGCUUAAUGAACACCACCAAAACGUCAGGUCAAGGUGCAGCUUAUGGACUGGGAAGCAAUGGGCUACAGUUUCUAACCUAGAACACACGAAAAACUAUGUGAAAUCAUGGUCACGAAGGCGGAUUUAGCAGUAAAAAGAAAAUAGAGUGUUCUUUUUAACCCGGCCCUGGGAUGUGUACACACCGCCCGUCACCCUCUUCAAUUGUACUUAUUCUGUUUCUUAACUCACCCCUACACCUAUAGAAGAGGCAAGUCGUAACAUGGUAAGUGUACUGGAAAGUGCACUUGGCAAACAA